GUGGGGAAUUUUGGACAAUGGGCGCAAGCCUGAUCCAGCAAUGCCGCGUGCAGGAAGAAGGCCUUCGGGUUGUAAACUGCUUUUGUACGGAACGAAACGGUUCUCUCUAAUACAGGGGGCUAAUGACGGUACCGUAAGAAUAAGCACCGGCUAACUACGUGCCAGCAGCCGCGGUAAUACGUAGGGUGCAAGCGUUAAUCGGAAUUACUGGGCGUAACGCGUGCGCAGGCGGUUUUGUAAGACAGAGGUGAAAUCCCCGGGCUUAACCUGGGAAUUGCGCUUGUGACUGCAAUGCUGGAGUGCGGCAGAGGGGGAUGGAAUUCCGCGUGUAGCAGUGAAAUGCGUAGAUAUGCGGAGGAACACCGAUGGCGAAGGCAAUCCCCUGGGCCUGCACUGACGCUCAUGCACGAAAGCGUGGGGAGCAAACAGGAUUAGAUACCCGGGUAGUCC
rnacentral:rRNA from 1 species